UACAGAGGGGGCGAGCGUUGUUCGGAAUCACUGGGCGUAAAGCGCACGUAGGCGGAUUGUUAAGUCAGGGGUGAAAUCCUGGAGCUCAACUCCAGAACUGCCUUUGAUACUGGCGAUCUCGAGUCCGGGAGAGGUGAGUGGAACUGCGAGUGUAGAGGUGAAAUUCGUAGAUAUUCGCAAGAACACCAGUGGCGAAGGCGGCUCACUGGCCCGGUACUGACGCUGAGGUGCGAAAGCGUGGGGAGCAAACAGG
rnacentral:rRNA from 1 species